GCAUGGAUGGUGAUCCUUCUGUCCAGUCUAGGCUGGCCAUGCUGGCCCUGAGGCCUGGAACUGGGGAGCACGAGCAGGAGGAUGACAUCUCCAGUGUCUGUCUGGGUCACCUGUUAGCGGAUGAGAAGUCCAGCCUUACUGCCUGUCCUCCGCCUGCAUUUAGGCUUCAUCCCUGGAAUGUCACCUUCUGUCCACUGGAAAACGUCUAGGCUCUGCUGCCAUACAGAACCCUUCUGCUUCCUUAAGGAGACGGUCCACUGUCCCCUUGUCUUCUCUCCUCUAAGCAAGAGGGGCCCCUGCCCUUUGCCCUUUCC
rnacentral:lncRNA from 1 species